GGCCUGGGCAAUAAGAGUGAAACUCCGUCUCAAAAAAAAAGAGAAAAGAAUGAAAGAUUGGCUUUGUUCCUUCUCCACUCCCACUGUUUCACUUGACUGGUCUUAA
rnacentral:sRNA from 1 species